ensembl:snRNA U6 U6 spliceosomal RNA
GUGCUCGCUUUGGCAGCACAUAUAUUAAAACGGAAACAAUACAGAGAAGACUAGCAUGGUCCCUGCACAAGGAUGACAUGCAAAUUCAUGAAGCAUUCCAUAUUUUU